rnacentral:rRNA from 1 species
AAUAGAUACCCUGGUAGUCCACGCCGUAAACGUUGGGUACUAGGUGUGGCGUCCCGAUCAACGGAUGCCGUACCGAAGCUAACGCAUUAAGUACCCCGCCUGGGGAGUACGGCCGCAAGGCUAAAACUCAAAGGAAUUGACGGGUCCCCGCACAAGCGGCGGAGCAUGCGGCUUAAUUCGAUGCAACCCGAAGAACCUUACCUGGGCUUGACAUCACGGGAAAAGCCGUAGAAAUACGGUGUCCGUAAGGGCCCGUGACAGGUGGUGCAUGGCUGUCGUCAGCUCGUGUCGUGAGAUGUUGGGUUAAGUCCCGCAACGAGCGCAACCCUUGUCCUAUGUUGCCAGCACGUAAUGGUGGGGACUUCAUAGGAGACUGCCGGGGGACAACUCGGAGGAAGGUGAGGACGACGGUCAAGUCAUCAUGCCCCUUAUGCCCAGGGGCUGCACGCAUGCUACAAUGGCCGGUACAAUGGGCUGCGAACCCGGCGAGGGGGAGCUAAUCCUCAAAGCCGGCCUCAGUUCGGAUUGGAGUCUGCAACUCGACUCC